rnacentral:rRNA from 1 species
AAAUUGAAGAGUUUGAUCAUGGCUCAGAUUGAACGCUGGCGGCAGGCCUAACACAUGCAAGUCGAGCGGUAGCAACAGAGAGCUUGCUCUCGGGUGACGAGCGGCGGACGGGUGAGUAAUGUCUGGGAAGCUGCCUGAUGGAGGGGGAUAACUACUGGAAACGGUAGCUAAUACCGCAUAACGUCGCAAGACCAAAGUGGGGGACCUUCGGGCCUCAUGCCAUCAGAUGUGCCCAGAUGGGAUUAGCUAGUAGGUGGGGUAACGGCUCACCUAGGCGACGAUCCCUAGCUGGUCUGAGAGGAUGACCAGCCACACUGGAACUGAGACACGGUCCAGACUCCUACGGGAGGCAGCAGUGGGGAAUAUUGCACAAUGGGCGCAAGCCUGAUGCAGCCAUGCCGCGUGUGUGAAGAAGGCCUUCGGGUUGUAAAGCACUUUCAGCGGGGAGGAAGGCGUUAAGGUUAAUAACCUUGGCGAUUGACGUUACCCGCAGAAGAAGCACCGGCUAACUCCGUGCCAGCAGCCGCGGUAAUACGGAGGGUGCAAGCGUUAAUCGGAAUUACUGGGCGUAAAGCGCACGCAGGCGGUCUGUCAAGUCGGAUGUGAAAUCCCCGGGCUCAACCUGGGAACUGCAUUCGAAACUGGCAGGCUAGAGUCUUGUAGAGGGGGGUAGAAUUCCAGGUGUAGCGGUGAAAUGCGUAGAGAUCUGGAGGAAUACCGGUGGCGAAGGCGGCCCCCUGGACAAAGACUGACGCUCAGGUGCGAAAGCGUGGGGAGCAAACAGGAUUAGAUACCCUGGUAGUCCACGCCGUAAACGAUGUCGAUUUGGAGGUUGUGCCCUUGAGGCGUGGCUUCCGGAGCUAACGCGUUAAAUCGACCGCCUGGGGAGUACGGCCGCAAGGUUAAAACUCAAAUGAAUUGACGGGGGCCCGCACAAGCGGUGGAGCAUGUGGUUUAAUUCGAUGCAACGCGAAGAACCUUACCUGGUCUUGACAUCCACAGAACUUUCCAGAGAUGGAUUGGUGCCUUCGGGAACUGUGAGACAGGUGCUGCAUGGCUGUCGUCAGCUCGUGUUGUGAAAUGUUGGGUUAAGUCCCGCAACGAGCGCAACCCUUAUCCUUUGUUGCCAGCGGUUCGGCCGGGAACUCAAAGGAGACUGCCAGUGAUAAACUGGAGGAAGGUGGGGAUGACGUCAAGUCAUCAUGGCCCUUACGACCAGGGCUACACACGUGCUACAAUGGCAUAUACAAAGAGAAGCGACCUCGCGAGAGCAAGCGGACCUCAUAAAGUAUGUCGUAGUCCGGAUUGGAGUCUGCAACUCGACUCCAUGAAGUCGGAAUCGCUAGUAAUCGUAGAUCAGAAUGCUACGGUGAAUACGUUCCCGGGCCUUGUACACACCGCCCGUCACACCAUGGGAGUGGGUUGCAAAAGAAGUAGGUAGCUUAACCUUCGGGAGGGCGCUUACCACUUUGUGAUUCAUGACUGGGGUGAAGUCGUAACAAGGUAACCGUAGGGGAACCUGCGGUUGGAUCACCUCCUUA